UGGAAGUUAAAAAGCGUAACAAGGUUUCCGUAGGUGAACCUGCGGAAGGAUCAUUAACAUUAAUUUACUACACACUGUUUUUUUACAACAAAACAAAUCUAUCUAAAAACAAUUCUUUACAAGAAAUUCUUAAAACUUUCAACAACGGAUCUCUUGGUUCUCGCAUCGAUGAAGAACGCAGCGAAAUGCGAUACGUAAUACGAAUCGCAGCUCUCGGAAUCAUCGAAUCUUUGAACGCACAUUGCACCAUUGGGUAUUCCCAAUGGUAUGCUUGUUUGAGCGAAUACUUCCCUAAUCCUCACGGAUUGUAUUGUGUUUGCACGAAAAUAAUGACGACAGUACUCUACAAAACGGUACCGUCAGUACACUCAUUUUUUUUCCUCAAAUCAAGUAGGACUACCCGCUGAACUUAAGCAUAUCAAAGCUGGAAGG
rnacentral:rRNA from 1 species